GACAAAGCGUAUUUGGUGGAGCGG
rnacentral:siRNA from 1 species